ACUCGUCUGCUUGCAUUUGCCUCACACCCUUAGAUGAGUAACACAAUCUCUCACCUGGAAACAGAACUGGAUAGAGUGAACAAGUGCACAAUAACAAACACAAAUUAUAAGACUUAAACUAAGCAAACAUAAAUAACCUGCUGAAGUAUUGCAUUCAAUCAUUUAUUAUCCCACAAAGCUUAAGAUGCUAGGAAAUAAGUCUAACAAAUAUAUGCCAAGUUAUCUAACAGAAACUGUCUCUCCCUUUGAAGCAUAGCCAACAUAAGUCUGAAUAAUCGUACACAAGCACAUGCAAUACGGCUCUGCUAAUACAAGAAGGUCUUGAUACUUUUGAGGAAAAUUAAGCAAAUGCAGAGCAUCGAGUGCUGUUUUGAUAUUUUCAUCAUUUCGGGAGUUUUUUUCUCUGAUGGCUUUCUUGUAAUCACGUUUAUAUAUUUUUUUCGGUAGAAAUUGUCUUGCUUUCGUGCUUGCUUAUACAUGUGUGUGAAAAUAAAAUACUACGAACACUGACAGGGAAUGCCAAACUCUACAAAGCACACUAAAUAAAGGCAAUAAUCAACUCUGCUAUACUUAUUAUUUAAGUACAUAACAAUAGCAGACCAAGUCUCCACUUGCACAUUUUUAACAACAAAAAAAACAGUGAAGAAAAAUUAUCACUCAGAAGAUACACCACAUAUUGUGCCUAGAAGUGCAACCAUUCAUGAUUAGAUCUACGAGAAAAGGUCAACCCCUAUACUUAAACUAAAGCCUGAUCUACCCAAUCCAUGUGAACCUAAACAUUGUAAAAUCCAACAAAAAAUCAACUUUGCUAUCAACUCUCUUAUAGAACUACUUGAAUGUCUACCGUUAGUUUCUUCUAGUGAACCAUCAAAUGGCUUGUUGUUUUCUACUCAAUAUUAUGAUAUUGUCCUCUUUCAUUUUGUCUGUUCUUGCUACAGAGUGAGAGCAGGCGAAUCAAUCAGCAUUAACCAAACCUUAACUUUAGCUGGGGGUAAUUUUGCAUUAGGCUUCUUCAAUCCAGGCAAUUCUACGAACAGAUACCUUGGCAUAUGGUACAAAACAAUCUCCGAACAAACAAUGAUAUGGGUAGCUAAUAGAGAAAACCCACUUGCUAAGAAUUCCCAUGGUGUUUUUGGGCUUGGUGAUGAUGGGAAUCUUGUGCUUUUUGAUGGAAGAAGAAGAGUUGUUUGGUCGUCAAAUGCAACAACUUCCAAUUUGGCCAUGAACUCCACAGUUGCAGUGCUGUUAGAUACUGGAAAUCUUGUUCUGAGACUUGGUGAGGGCACUGGGCUAUGGCAGAGUUUUGAUCAUCCAACUGAUACAUUCAUGCCUGGCAUGAGACUUUGGUUGGAUAGGAAAACUGGCUGGCAAAGCCUUCUAUACUUGUGGACAAACAAUGCAGAUCCUCGGCCAGGAAUGUUCUCCGAAGGUAUAGAUCCAGAAGGGCGUCCAGGAAUUUUCAUUUGGAAGCAACAUGAUCCAUAUUGGAGAAGCAGUGUGUAUGACUAUAGUUUGUAUUAUGUAGGAUAUAAAUCUCAAGAGUUUGCCUCCUACUUCAGUUUAAUUGCAGAAGGUGAUGAAAUUUAUCUUUCAGUGCCUCAGAAAACUUGAUUAAUAGAAGAGCCAUGUUAACUCCUAGAGGGCAAGCUGAGCUGCUGUUAUGGGAGCAAAGUAACAAUUCAUGGGUAGUUCUAUGGCAGGUUCCAUUAGUUAAAUGUGAUUUUUAUGGGUAUUGUGGUCCAUUUAGUAGCUGUGAUGAAAAUGGUUUGCAUAAAUUUUGCCGUUGUUUGGAGCGUUUUGAGCCCAAAGAUCAGAAAGAAUGGAAGCUUGGAAAUUGGACAGGAGGCUGUACCAGGAGAAUGGCACUGACAUGUGAUAUAGGAGAUCAGUUUUCUCAGUUAGAAAGGAUGAAAUUGCCUGAUUAUUCAAUCUCUGUGGGAAAUAUGACUACUGUUAGUCAAUGUGAAUUAGAAUGUACUAAGAACUGCACUUGCAUGGCUUAUGCUUAUACUAAUGUGAGCAGUAAGCUGUAUGCAUUGGUUUGGGGAUCUCAUGGACCUAAAGGGUGAUGACAUCAAUGGCAAAGAUCUUUAUGUCCGCAUUCAUGACUCUGACCAAGUUGGUAAUGGUAAGUUGACACAUAAAAGCAGUAAGUGUCAUUGCAAUUGCAGCAGCUGCCAUCUCUACUGGAUUGCUCCUUAUUUGCAGCUUUGGCUAUGCCUUGAGGAGAAGGAUGAGAAGCCGAGAGGGUAGAUCGAAGUGCACAUGAGCUUGAUGCCAACUCUAAUGCAUCAGUUGAUGAUUCAAAUAAUGGAGAAAUGUUGUCGUUCAGUUUGAGAAGUAUGUUAGCUGCUACUGACAACUUUUCUGAAGCAAACAAACUUGGAGAGGGUGAGUAUGGCCCUGUUUAUAAGGGAUAUUUGCCUGAAGUGCAAGAAGUAGCCAUAAACAAGCAAUCAAAAACAUCAUUACAAGGAACAGGAGAGUUUAUGAAUGAGUUGAAAUUAAUUACCAAACUCCAACAUAAAAAGGUUGUCAGGCUUUUGGGUUGCUGUGUUGAACAAGAGAAAAAAAUACUGAUCUACGAGUAUAUGUGCAAUGGAAGCCUAGACAAAUUGCUAUUUUGUACACAAAUUUACCUCUUUUCUGAAACUUCUGAUAAACAAUUUCUGUUAGUUUUAUAGUCUCUGAUUUUCAAUUUCCCAUCACUGAUUUAGUAUUGGUUUCCAUUAGAUCCUUCUAAGCAAGCCAAUCUGGACUGGACUAAAUGCUUCCAGAUCAUAGAAGGGAUUACUCAGGUCUAAUCUACCUACACAAGUAUUCUAGAUUGAAAGUCAUUCACCGGGAUAUAAAAGCAAGCAAUAUUCUGUUGGAUGAAGCAAUGAAUCCCAAAAUUUCAGACUUUGGAACUGCAAGGAGUUUUGGAAUAAAUCAAAUUGAAGCAAAUACCAGGUGGGUGGUGGGCACACAGUAAGUAUAGCAGAUAUUCCCAUUUGUGUGAAUUUUGAAUGAGAUAACCUUAUUUGUACUGAUGCUACCACUACUAUUUCAUCAACUUGGUUGAUAACAUUGUCAUUUGUGAUGCAUCGCCUACAUGUCACCAGAGUAUGCGUUGUACGGUAAAUUUUCUAAAAAUUCAGAUGUAUUUAGCAUUGGACUGUUAAUGUUAGAGAUCGUGAGUGGCAAGAGAAACACUAGUUUUCAUCUCACCAAACUCUCGCUAACCCUUUUAGGAUGGGUAAGUAUCCUUUGUCUCUUUGGUUAUCCUCUUAGGUUGGUUGUUGGUUAGUUGGAUAUAUAAGAUAAUUAAUUAGUUUUGAAAUUUUAAUUUUUGAUGGGUUUGACUCUUUCCUGUGUAAAGGCAUGGGAGAAUUGGAGUUCAUUGAUCCGUCAAUAAAGGAUACAUGCGACUUUAAGGAGGCAUUGUAGACUAUUGCUGUGGGGCUUUUGUGUGUUCCAAGAUUUUCCGGGUUAUCAACCAACAAUGUAUGAUGCAGUUCUCAUGUUGAGCAAUGAAAAUGCCUCGAUUCCAUCACCCAAAGAACCAGCCUUUUCAAGUUGUAGGAGUUCUAACACUGUCAGCUAUCCUUCUCAAACAUCGAGUAGCUAUUCCAACAAUGAGGUGACAAUUAGCAUGCUAGAGGCUCGAUAGAAGCUCUCAAUUUUUCUAUUUUCAUUUGAAGUAUUUAUGUUAUG